UACGGAGGGUGCGAGCGUCGUUCGGAAUGACUGGGCGUAAAGGGCGCGUAGGUGGAUGAAUGAGUCUCUUGUGAAAUCCCUGGGCUUAACCUAGGAAUUGCGAGAGAUACUGUUUAUCUAGAGUGAAGUAGAGGGUAGCGGAAUUUCCGGUGUAGCGGUGAAAUGCGUAGAUAUCGGAAAGAACACCGGUGGCGAAGGCGGCUACCUGGGCUUAGACUGACACUGAGGCGCGAAAGCGUGGGUAGCGAACAGG
rnacentral:rRNA from 1 species